UGAUUCAUAUAGAUAUUUUAAAAGCCUAACACGGAACCCAAACCGGCCUUGCGCGUGCGUGCGCAAAUUGAUUUUGUCCCRCCACACCACACGCGAUCACGAAACGCAAGGUUAAAAUAUCAAAACAAACUCUGAACCAAUUAUAUUAUUUGGGGGCGGGACGAUGUUUUUAGSYCCUUUUCUUGCCUGCAUUUUCCAGUGAUCCUGUUGAAAUGUAUUUUGAUUCUUCUGAUUUCACCGCGAUUGAGGAGUGAUAACAUGGCAUGGAUUAACAGACACCACCUGCUAAAACAGAAGUUGGUCGCCCUUGUAUUAUUGAGGCGCAMACAGGGAAGGAGGAGAAGGUUAUGGGUGCAUCCCAUAAAUGUGCUGAGAAGGGAGCAUGGGCAAUACUACCACCUUGUCCAGGAGCUGCUCUUGGACCCUGCCCGACAUCACCGAUACUUCCGGAUGAGUGCAGAAGAAAUGGAGACUCUUCUGUCUUUUGUUGGCCUAGACCUCACCAAGCAGACGACCAACUACAGGACCCCAAUAGAGCCGAAGCAAAGACUAGCUGUCACUCUAAGGUAUUUGGCAUCUGGAGACUCUAUUUGCAGCCUGGCCUUCACCUAUCGUCUUGGAUUCGAGACAGUGUCACAGUGCAUUAUGGAGACCUGUGAGGCCAUGGAGAGGAAGAUGCUGGCGAUCCAUCUGCCACGACCCACUGAGGAAACCUGGAGACAAACUUCUCAAGAGUUUCAUGAAAAAUGGGACUUUCCCAAUUGUUUGGGAUCGGUUGAUGGAAAACAUGUUAUGAUCACCAAACCACCAAACUCAGGGAGACGUUUUUUAUUAUUAUAAAGGAAUCUUCUCUGUGGUGCUACUCGCCCUUGUGGAUACCAAUUACKGCUUCACAGCUAUUCAAGUGGGGGAUUUUGGGAGAAACGGUGAUGGAGGAGUCUAUGCCAACUCCCCACUUGGAAGGGCAAUGGCAUCAAAAACCCUGCAGGUGCCCCAAGAUGCCUUUCUGCCUGGGGGUGAAGAUUUAGGAAAGAUACCAUACACAAUGGUGGGGGACGCUGCCUUCCCACUAAAGCCCUACCUGAUGAGGCCAUAUGCCGGGCAUAACAUCAGCUACGAGAAAGAAAUCUUCAACUAUCGUCUCUGUCGAGCUAGAAUGACAGUGGAGAAGGCAUUCGGGAUCCUUGCGGCCAGAUGGAGGAUCCUCUACCAAAAAAUAAACCUAUUGCCAAGCAAGGUUGAUACCCUAGAGGUUGCAAUGUGAUUCCUCCACAACUUCCUCACAAAGCCUUGUGAUGUGAAGAUGUGGCUACAGCAGGAUGGGGCACGGAUGAGGCAAGGCAUGAGAGGCAUAGCCAUCCAGGUCAACAGAGCAGGUCAGGAGGCAGUUUCUGUCAGGGAAAAGUUUACUAAGUAUUUCACCUCUGUGGAAGGCAGAAUUGACUUCCAGGACAGAAUGGUUGUAGCUAGGCCUACUUAGAUCCACUGUGUGAGAGUUUAUCAACAUGGUAAGUAAGUUCAACUUUGACAUCUUCAUUUGUUUUGUGUAUUCAUUUUACAACUGCAAAACUAUUGUACAAUGCCACCAUUAUUUCA